rnacentral:lncRNA from 1 species
GCUUGAGCCAUCUCUUUCGGCCCCUGGGAGUCCAGAAAGUGGUCAUGUAGCUACUCUUUUCAUCCAGUUUGCACUGUAGAAAGGCAUCUCUUGCAUCAACAAGUGUAAAAACCCGUGCUUUAGGCAGUUUGUGCAAAACAUCCUCAAGUGUUGGCAUCAUGUAGUGUGACCUUCUCAGGGCCAUGUUAAGAAACUUUGGAACAAUGCAAAUUCUAAUCUUUUCAGGCUUUCUAAUAACUACCAUGUUGCUUAUCCAGUCAGUUGGCUCUGAUACUGAUGUAAGAUGUCCGUCAGCUUCAUACUUAUCCAGUUG